GGGUACCAGUAGCCGAUGCCGAACUGACGGCAGGGGCAGAGACUCUGGAGAAGUUGCAGACGCUUCGUGUUAGGGAAGUUGCAUUGCUACAACAGAUUUUUAAGCAACAGAGCAAUCCAGCCAAGUUUAUAUUUUAGAGAGAGAACAUCUUCCAUGUGGAGGAUCAGUUGAAAUAGAAGAGAUUGUUAGAAUUGUAGGGCGGUAGUAUUCCAGGCAGGAGAUGACGAAUGCCAGACACCACCUAGUCACAGACAUAGCUUUUGCAGAGAUCAGCUACAUGUUGUUGUUUUUUAUUUACUCUCUCAUAUAAUUUUUUUUAAGUCCUGGACCACAAAAUACUGUGGCAUCGUUGGAAAAAUCUGAGACUCGAUUCUAGUCUUUUUUCUGUUUGCCUGCUCUGCAGCUUGGGCUUACGUUCUCAAGCCUUACUUUUUCAUUGUGAAAUAAGAACGGUGCUACUUAACCCGAGAACUCCCCAGGCACAUAGACCCGUGGCGUGUGAGGAGCAGUGAAGGAGAGAAGGAAUGGAAGUGCUUUGGGGACCCCAAGAGCCCUUCAGAAACCGUUUGUUCUUUUUAAUAUUGAGCAUUAAAAGUGAAGGCAUUCCAUUUGUUUCACUCAAAAACAAAUUCUGUUCUUCUGAUAGCCUGUUUUUUUUUUCCACUCCCUUUUUCUAUAGUCAGAUCAGUUCCUGAUGGGCAUUCUCCAGUCCACACUAUUGCAUCUGAUUGGAGGCUAUGCAAAAUUUCCCAGAGACAAUGAAUUUUGACGGUAUAGUAGUUAAUUCUUUAUAGUACGUUCCUGCAAAAACACUCUUUUCUUCAGAGUUUUUCCUUUUCAGGAUAGUGGUAGUGUUGUGGUAACUAAUAAAGGCUACUCUUCAGAAAAUUGUAUAACUCGUUUUUAGUGUAUCUACUUCGCUUACUUAAUUCCAUAUUCCCUGUUUUCUAGACAGACUUCUUGGUGUCCACUGUACCCAUGGUUUCAACAGGACUGGCUACCUCAUGUGCAGAGCACGGGCUCCAGACGCGCAGGCUCAGUAGUUGUGGCUCACGGACCCAGUCGCUCCGGGGCAUGUGCGAUCUUCCCAGACCAGAGCUCGAAUCCGUGUCCCGUGCAUUGGCAGGCAGAUUCUCAACACUGCGCCACCAGGGAAACUCCGGAAUAAAGCCUUUUUGUAGUCAUGAUAUUUGAUUGAUGUAGAAGGCAUGUGGCCAGAUGAUGCAAUUGAAUACUGGUGUUUUAUCUUUACAAGUUCUCCGUCAUUCCAUAAGAAAGCUGCUCGUCUUCUGGUUUCAUAAGAGAUGGUGAACAGUGGUAAAAUAUCCAGUUGACCGAAAUUUCUAGAGUACACUUCAGGGAGCGAGUGAUGGGGUGGAAUGUUGGGGCAGAGUGAGAGAUACAGAUUCUGGUGAGACUGAGAGUCAUGCACAAAAAUUACUGGGCUGUGGUGAAGGGAGAACAAAACUAAAUCAGGUUCCUGCUGGUGGACAGGAAGCCAAGAUGAAGAAGAAUGGUGCGUAGCUGGGCAGUGUAAUUAGGCCCCUAAGUGCUGUGUCUCCUGAUAGUAAUUAUGAACAGAAACCAAAUAAUAGUUACUAAUAACAUGGAGGUGACCAAUCCUUGAGAGCUGAGGCAGAGAGAAGGAAAGAUGGCAUUAUGCCUUGUCUCUGGUGCCUUGAGUUUCCCAGGCUGGUUUGUGACCAAUCUUGGGUGAAAUCAUAACUAAGUCAUUUCUGCUAAGGUGAUCAGCUUUCGUGGGGUCCUUUCUCUGCACUCUGUCCAAUGGUAAAGCCCACUGGUUUAUGCCUCCUGGAAAACAGUUAUUCCAAAGCAGUAUAAGUGAAGCAUUGAUGAAACAGCCAUGAAGAGCAUGUUUCCACAUGGCCUCGCACCACCUUUUCAAAGUGCUGUAAAACUUUUUUCAUCCAAAAAUCAGUAACAGAAAAGGAUUGGGAUCAAAUCCCGUACAGAGGUAGUGUAAGAAAAAAGAGAAUAAGGAGCAGAAUAGCAUGUCUUCAGACAAUAAAAUCAAGUUGGAAAAGACAGGUCCACAAAACAGAUCAAAACUGUAACCUAUUAUUUCAAAGUGGGCUAAAAGAUGUUAGGAAAAACAAUGCGAAAGAUGAAAGAACAUGGAUCGAGGAGGGAAUGGGAAGUUAUUGUUUAGUGGCUAUAGAGUCUCUGUUUGGGAUGGUGGAAAAGUUCUGGAAAUGGUAAAUGCUGAUAAAUGCCACCUAUGGGUGUUUGGUUUUAGUUGAUCUUCUUCCAUGAAAGGGUUUGGAGAGAUUCAGAAGCUAUGCUGCUGCCUCCAUCUUUCUGAUGUCCUGCUCAAUCUUUUGACAUAAUUAUUUUGAAUUUGCACAGUGGUGAUGGUUGCACAGCAUUGUGAAUGUAUUUAAUGUCACUGAAUUGUAUACUUGAAAAUGGUUGAAAUAAUAAAUUUUGUUUUAUGUA